UAGGUUAUUAAUAAAAAAAUGAAUCAAAUUGACUGAAUAAAGGGUGAAAGCCUUACAGUCAGAUCUUUCACUGCCUGCAGUUGUUCUGAUUUUUUUUUCAUUGUUAAUUUGUACUGUAACAUGGCCAAUAUCUGUCUAAGGCCAUGCAAAGAGCAAAGGGCUCACUCCCAGAAUGUCAUAUGCAAUACAUGUAAAUAGGGGUGGUAAGACUGAGGUAAGCAAUCAUUAGGAUUGUGCAAGACAGAGAUAAGCAAGUAAACAACCUCUUCCCAAAACAAAGUACAAAAUUACAGCUUUCAUUAGAAAAAUAGAAGGUUUUUGUUUGUUUGGGGUUUUUUCUUGGUAAAAUUCCAGCAGGUUUCCAUCCUUGUUCUUCUCUACUAUGUUCUGUUGUGCUGGGAAGCCAGUGGUGUGAUAAGAGUUUUACUGUGCAUUGAUCAAGUAAAGGUAUUGACUCUCAGGUUUCAGUCUAAUGGCUCAAAGCUGUCACCUCCAAAAUGAGGAACAAGGGCUCCCUGCUGCCUCUUCCAGGAUCAUUUCACUGAUGUGACCUGAACUGGGUGAAUCAUGUCUUAAAGCACAUUUUGUGGAGGAAUAAAAGAAUUACCUAAGAUUUAUCUCAUUAAAAAGGACUUCCAGAACUAGCUACCUCCUAAAUAUAAAAGUUUCAUGGCAUCUUUCAAGGCCUAAUUCUGAUGUCUGCUGAUAAAGUCUGCAACUGUGUAAGCCUUGGGACCUAAGGACCGUCAUUAAGUUCCACACUUGGCAGGAUUCUCAGUAUUUGAUUGUCCAUCGAAUGUUGACUGCAAAACCUGUCUAUGAAAACCUACUUUUUCUAUUUCAGAUCCCUAAGGUUUAUUCCACUUUUGUGAGAAAUUUGUAGCAUUUUGAUUUUUAUCUAAACCAUUGUUGGUGCAAAUUAUUGUUUCUCUCUUUGGGAAAUUAUUUCAUUGCUAGGAAACCCUGCCACCAGUUUGGUAAACAGGUACUUCAGAUCUCAUAGAAUUUUGGGGUGGUAGACUUGGAUAACUUUGGAAGUAAAUACAUCUUAGCUCCUGAUAGGCAAACCAACAAAGGUGUGUGUGAGGUUGAAUCUCUGCAGGGAGUGGACUUCUCUGAGAGCUUAACAUUUGGUUUUCAAGAUUUCUUUUAUUGUGCCAUUCUUCUGAGCUUUGUCUUACUGAAUUCAUGGGAGACAGCUUUAAUGUCAACUUCCCUGCUAGUG